UCUAUCGUGUCCAUAACAUAACCACCCUUUAUAGUCAUAAUCAUAUUCAUAUUCCUAUUUAAUUGAACUUCUCUUUGUAAGUCAGACUAGUUCCAAUUUUAGAUUUUCUUUUUGUUGUGAACACAUAACAUGAGGAGUGUAACAUGGAAUUUGAGCGUGUACAUAUAUGGUUACUUCUUCGUCCAAUUGCUUCUAUGCUAUGUAAAUUUAUACAAAUCAUGAUUUUGUAUUUGUUUUCUAGCACUCUUUGAUAAUAUGAGACAUGUUCAAUAUAAAUCAUUGUUCUUACAUUUUACUUUCUAACACUAAAUAAUAAUGAGACAUAGGAUGAUAUCCGGUAAAUAAAUAAAAGAAAGAUUUUCAUGUUUGCGUUGGCAAGCUGAGUAGGAGACUGAAUCACCAUGAGUCCACAGUCCAACACGUUUCAGCCGCGUGGUAGAACGUCGACGUGGAGGAGGAAGAAGGCACAUGUCUGUUUUGGUUUUGUAGAUCUGCAGAAUAUAGGUUGUGAUGGUGGACUUUUGUUUAGAUAUGAAGAUGGUGAAGUGUUGUGGUAUGGGUGGGUCAAUCUCUCUGAAUUCUAUCGCACACUCUCAGUCACACACGUUAGAGAGGAGAAAAAAAAGUUGCAUAAUUAAGGCUUAAAUUGUGCAACAUUGUACAUGUUAGAAAAACCCAUAAAGGGGUGUUUGUUUGAGGGUUACAAAAAUAAUUCCUAGGAAUUUAAGGCUGGAAUUGAAUAUUGCUUUGUUUGGUAGAUGGGAAUAACACAAAUAUACCAAGGAAUACAUUUUUCUCAGGAAAGUCUUUUACCCAUGUUCACCCCCAUGUUCUACCCAUUUUUCCUGUCUUUUAUUCCCCUGAGAUAGCAUGGGAAAGUUUUAUUCCCAGAGAAUAAAAACCAUGAUCUCCAACAAAAUACCUCUUCUACCCUUGCCAUUCCUGCUAUUCUUUUUCUCUGAUUCCCGCUAAACAUUUUCACCCAUGAUAUUCUGUAUAAAAAGAAACCCAUGAUCUUUGUGUGUGCAUCAACUACUUGCCAAUUGGGUUUUUGAUUUCACUCUUCUAUUCAAGGUACCAUCUAAUUUCAUCAUAAUUCUUCCAUUACUCAACAUAGAUUUGGUGAUUGAUAUCAAUUCUCUGUUUUUUUGUCUGCUGUUUGUUGCUUAUUGCUUUGUCUCAACCCAUUUUUGUUCAUUUUUUUUGAGAAAUUUAACUCAGUUUUGUUUCAUAUUUUUUUUCCACUGUUUGGCAAUUCUUGUUUUUUUCCCAAUCAUGAAUCAAUGCAAAAAAAAGUUUAGAGACAACUUGUUUUUAUUACCCCACCUUCUUCUAACUUUUCCCAAAAUAUGCUAAUAACCAUGACGCUGAAUUCUUUGUUCGUAAAACUUCAGCACGUGCUAGUAAUAACCAAUAAGCCUGUGUUAUAACUCUAAUUUUAAAAAUGAAGUAUAUAACAUGUUCUUUUUUCAACUUUUAUACUGCUUAAUAUUAUCCAUAGAUGAUGUUGCCAAAUGUGACAUAUUAUCUAAGAAAGUGAGAUUUGUCAAAUUUGGAAUCACUAUAUAUUUAUUAGUUGUGUAAUGACAUCAAUUAUACUUUGAAUUCAUUUACUAUAUUGGUUGUGUAUCUAGAACCAUGUAGCUAUAGGAUACAACAACUGAGCUCCUAGUUGUAUUAUUAAAGCUUAGCAACUUGAUAGUGAAAAUCUGCAAGAUGUGGUACAUAAUCUAAGUCAAGUAGUAUGAUGUUCAACGUUAUAUCUCUGUGCACAAUUUGACAUUCUUUUGUUCCAUCAUGAUAUUCCCAAGUGUGAAAUAUUCCCAGGUUGCACACUAAAAGCUACCCCACAUAUUGAAUCAAGAGUGAAACUGCUUAAAAGAUAAUAUUCUGCAAUCAAAGAUAUGUUGGGUCCAGGUGCAAGUGGUUUUGGGUGGAAUGAUGCUAGAAAGAUGAUUAAAGUAGAGAAGGAGAUUUAUCGUUAAUGGUGCAAGUUGGUUUGUAUGAAAAACCAUUUCCACACUAUGAUAGCUUGGAUACUGUAUUUGGAAAAGAUAAAGCAGCUGGUACUGUAACAGAAGAUAUCAUUGAUAUGACUAUUGAGAUGGAGAAGGAAAAUGUUCAAUCAACACAAGAGGGAAGAUCAUGAAUUAAUUUGAAUGAUGAUGAUGAUGCUGAGAAUUUUGAGUCGCAGAUGCUAGAAACACCCACAACUAACACUACUGCUCCGGGUUCAAAUCCAACAAACCAGCCACAACGUGAUUCUACUAAUUAUAGGAUCGGAAAGCGUGGGGGAAAAAGGGUGAAGUAUAACGAUGAUGCUUCUGAUAGCACGUCAAAUUCAUUGAACAAAUUGGGUGAGAUUUAUGCUAAUGGUGUUGAGAAUAUGAAACAAGUCUUCACUUAUUGUUUUGUGCACGAGAAACACACAACUGAUAGGAGGAACCAGAUUGUCUCUAUUUUAAAAUAAAUUGAAGGACUGUCUGAUGCAGAAGUGGUAAUGGCUGGUAUGCUUAUCACCAAAGACAAUAACCUUUGCAACUAUUUUUUCACAAUGGAUACUCCUGGAUUGAGGAAGCGGUUUGUGGACAUUGUUUUGAGUAACAAUGGUUCUAGGUAGAAUUUAGAAUGUUCAUUGCUUUUUGAAUUUGGUAAAAAAAACUCAUUAGCCACUGUCUUUAAUUCCUUUUAUUAUUUAGUUGAAUCCGUUA